rnacentral:piRNA from 1 species
UCAUGUUUUCCGCACUUGUGA